AUUGAGGUUCUGCAGUUUGUCAGAGAUCAGCUGUGCUUCUCUGGCCUCAGCUCUGAAGUCCAACCCCUCCCAUCUGAGAGAGCUGGAGCUGAGUCUCAACAACCUGCAGGAUUCAGGAGUGAAGCCGCUGUCUGAUCUUGUGGAGAGUCCACACUGCAGACUGGAGACUCUGAGAUGGAAGCGGACUCUGUCAGAGUGUGAGGGAUCAGAAAGGUGGUUGUAUUGAGAGGACCAGCUGUGUCCUGAUGAUCCAGAGGUUGAAGCAGCAGCUGGUGUGUGGAGAGGCUCUGACUGGGCCAUGUUACUGGGAGGUGGAGUGGAGAGGAGAGCUUCACCCAGCAGUGACUGACGGAGGAAUCACAACAAGUGGAGAUGAGUGUCAGUGCUGCAGUCUGAACUGCUCUGAGAUCAGCUCCACUGUCAGACACAAAGGCAAGUCCACCAUCGUCCCUGUGUGUUCCUCUGGAUGUGGCAGAGUAUCGUCAGUGUAUCUGGACUCUCUGCUGCUGCUCUGUCCUUCUACACCGUCUCUGCAGACACACUGAGACUCCUCCACUCCUUCUGCUCCACCUCCUCCACCAGAAGUCUGCAGUUUAACUAUCUUUCUCUUCAGUGUGAGAUUAUAUUUCUGUCUACUUGUUCUUUUCUCUUCUGUAUGUUUAUGUUCUUAUUUCCAGUAGUUGGUGUUGCGCUCCUCUCAGAGUUCAGGGCACACUAGCAUGAUGUGUGGGAAUCUAGUGGAAGUAAAGCAAUAUUCAUUAUCCUCAACAAGUGUUUUACUUAUAAUAACUGGGUUGAUGCUACUUUUUGUUUUGCAGUCAUAUAAUAAUAAUAAUAAAACUUUAUUUUUAGAGCACUUAUCAGAACAAAGUACAAAGUGCUUCACAGAGAAAUAAAACACCACAGCGAAUGAUGAAAUGUAAAGAAAUAAAAUACAGAAAAGCAAUAAAAUAAACAGUUCAGGUAAAAUCAGGAUCUGCUUUCAGAUAAAAAUGUGUUUUGAGACGAGACUUAAACGAAGACGCUGACUCAGACAGCCUGAUGUCUUCGGGCAGGUUGUUCCAGAGCCUCGUGGCCCUGAUGGCAAAAGCUCUGUCCUCCUUAGUUUCCAUCCUGGACUCAGGAACAGACAGGAGACCCCUGCCCGAAGAUCUCAGACUACGUGAAGGUUCAUAAGGGAUUACAAGGUCUAAAAUAUAGUCUGGAGCCAUGAAGAGCCUUAAAAGUAAUCAACAAGAUCUUAAAAUCAGUCCUGAAACCAACAGGGAGCCGAUGUAAAGAGGCUGAACCAGGUGUGAUGUGGUCGAACCUCUCGGUCCUGGUUUACAGCCGAGCAGCUGAGUCCUGUACAGUCUGCAGUCGUUUCACAGCUUUUUGAUUAAGUGAACAGGCUGUUACAGUAAUCGAGGCGUGACCAUGUAUGUAUGUUGUAUCAUGACAGCAGCAGGAACAGGAAACGACCUGGAGACAGAAAUCCGCAGCAGCCAAGUCGAGUACAGAACGGUGUCAGCAGCGAGCACAUACAGCUAUGGUAACCCCCGAGGGACAAACACAGUCAGUCAGUCAGCACCUGCACCGAUUAAAGCUAAACUUGGUCACACAGUACUGAGUGAGUUAGUAACACUGUUUAUAAAUGACAGUUAGAUUGGUAACAUAUAAAAGCUGAGCAGACGGGAGAAGGUGAGGGCUUUUGUCAUGUCAGCGAGGCUGUGGCUAUUUGCUGGAGACCCUUUGUACCAGUGCCAUGUACACAGGUAACCAGGUUUCUAAUCAUUUUCUUACAUAUGUGGAUGACAAAAGACCACAGACGGAAACAGCUGAGCGAUGGAUGAAAGGAGAUCAUUACAUCACUGUGGACAAAAUAUGAAGAGUGUAAAUCAAAUCUAUGAAAUGUAGCCUUGGAAAUAAACUUGUCAUGUAAUGAAAGAAAAGAUUUUUUGUCAUGAUGAUGUAUUUUUAGCUUUAUGAUAAAUUAGUACAGAAGUCUGUAAAAUGAUUUAACAGUUUUUAUUGUUUGUUUCCAUAUACAAAAAGAUAAAACUGAAACAACCCUAGGGGCUAGGGAAUCCAUUAUGUCGAUUUCGAUUCUUAGGACAAGUUCAGGCUGGGAUUGGAUGUUGUGAUUGUAUCGUCAGUUAAAAAAAGGAUUUUAUUAAAUUAUUUGGCAGUUUAUCACUUUUUAAAUUCAACUUACCACAUAUUUAUUAUAUCAGUUAAUUAGGGUACAAUAGAUGCAACUGAAGCUGGUCUGUAACUCUGAAGGUGAUGACACUGUUUGCUGCUGAACCGCCUUAAAUAAUCACUCUUCUACAUUAAAAAUUAAAAAAGCACUUUUUAUAUGUAAGAAAGAAGAAAUAUUUCAGUUUUUAUGAUUGUUCUCAUUAAAGCUGUGUUCUUUUGUUUGGCUAAAAA